CCGUGACCGGAAAAGUCUCCGAAUUGGGCCGAGGUUUUGGCUAGCCCCCCAUUGUCAGAUGUCCCGAGCGCGUCCCCUAAGUCGGAAUCGGCAAAGGUGAGCCGGGACAGCCUUCUUCCUCCGCCCAGCCGCCACAGUAAUUUGUCGUCAAGUCUGCCACAGGAGGAUAUUUUGUUCUGGGUUAACCUGCCUUUUUACCUCGCAGGUUGUUUAUCAAUAUUGUGUAAUUUUAAUUACUCCUAGAAUUUCCGCAUGUGUUAGCAGUAAUUAUUUGAAAUUGGUCUGUAAUAUUAUAUUCAUGUUGGACCUGUAAACUUAAUAUUUUAAGUCUGUUUGAUGCAUUGGAUGAGGGAGCUGAGCUCCCAU